rnacentral:rRNA from 1 species
UACGAAGGGGGCUAGCGUUGCUCGGAAUCACUGGGCGUAAAGAGCGCGUAGGCGGCCCUGUAAGUCCGCUGUGAAAGUCAAGGGCUCAACCCUUGGAUGCCGGUGGAUACUGCAGGGCUAGAGUCCGGGAGAGGGAUGCGGAAUUCCAGGUGUAGCGGUGAAAUGCGUAGAUAUCUGGAGGAACACCGGUGGCGAAGGCGGCAUCCUGGACCGGCAUUGACGCUGAGGAGCGAAAGCCAGGGGAGCAAACGGG